UGACUGACGCUGCUAAAGUUAGAAUUUAAUCGUCCAGUUACAGGAAGUACACAUGCCAUUUGUUUUAUCCACUUGUUGACGUUUUUUAUCACUGACUAGAAAAGUCUUACAAGUUUUUUCCCAAAAGCCUGGAAUUGUCGGAAGAGGGCGCCAAAAGCACACUAAUAAUUCUGAAGAAUCGAAUGACUGGAUGUGCCUCAGGCUGGUCUCUUUGGUCCGAUGGCUCCCAGCAGGGAGAUACUUGAAAGGUAUUUGAAACUGUCGUCCUUAAUCAUUUCCCGGAUCCCGGAGGACUCCCAUGACGUGACAGAGGAAGGACGGAGAGGGAAGGA